rnacentral:rRNA from 1 species
AUGCAACAGCUAAUGAGAGGAGAUCAUGGACAGAUGGAGGGCUCCAUCGCAAACGCAUUGUUCGACGAAUGGACAGUGCAGCAACAAUACAACACAACCGAUAAAGCCAUACUUCCCGCAGAAUUUGCAAAUAUCGUGCUCGGUGUUAAAAGUGGUGAAGAAGAACGACUAGCAGAAUUCAAUGAGGAAGACGCAUUGAAACAGUUUGCAUCCCUUGUAACAGGGAAGGAACUCUUAAAGAAAAAGCUGAUUAUGAUACCUCACAACACAGCUAAACACUACACAUUGUACGUGCUCAACAAGUACACGAGCUCCAUCGACAUACUUGACUCACUGAAUUACAGACACUGA